rnacentral:rRNA from 1 species
GUAGGACUUACACAAGAGUCGGAGAUUUCAGUCUCGCGAAAGGGGACACAAAAUGUAGCCCCCGUGGUACGACGUACACAACGGAGUACGUAUGCUACGUAUGUCCUGGGUAGUGAAGCACGCGUCGUACUCCGGUAGGAUGUAGAUGCGCUCGAGAGUGCUGCUGGAGAAGUCGGAGCGCACCCUGUAGCAGUAUGGAACACCCCACCAGGACGACCGGUGCGAGGAAAAGAAAGUCGUCACCGAACCCCCGCGGAACAAGGAGGCGAGGUUCUCUGCCUUCGGCAGCUCGCUUAUGCUUUACCAAAGGUGGCAGUCGAGAAUCGUUCAAGGAUGUCGAAAUAAGUAGCGCUCUAUUCACCUUCAUCUCCUCCCCAAAUGUUUACCAGACUCUCUAUCAAAAAAGACAAAGGACUACCUACUUAUAAAUGGGGUGUAACCGCGAACAAAC